rnacentral:rRNA from 1 species
GACGAACGCUGGCGGCGUGCUUAACACAUGCAAGUCGAACGGAAAGGCCCUGCUUUUGUGGGGUGCUCGAGUGGCGAACGGGUGAGUAACACGUGAGUAACCUGCCCUUGACUUUGGGAUAACUUCAGGAAACUGGGGCUAAUACCGGAUAGGAGCUCCUGCUGCAUGGUGGGGGUUGGAAAGUUUCGGCGGUUGGGGAUGGACUCGCGGCUUAUCAGCUUGUUGGUGGGGUAGUGGCUUACCAAGGCUUUGACGGGUAGCCGGCCUGAGAGGGUGACCGGCCACAUUGGGACUGGGAUACGGCCCAGACUCCUACGGGAGGCAGCAGUGGGGAAUAUUGCACAAUGGGCGGAAGCCUGAUGCAGCAACGCCGCGUGCGGGAUGACGGCCUUCGGAUUGUAAACCGCUUUCGCCUGUGACGAAGCGUGAGUGACGGUAAUGGGUAAAGAAGCACCGGCUAACUACGU